rnacentral:misc_RNA from 1 species
AAAAAAAAAAAAAAAGAAAAAGAAGAAAAUAUAGAAACUAAUAUUACCAAAUAGACUAUUUGAAUAAGGAUAUUCCAGUCAGCAUGCCUCCAUCUAAGGUUAGUUUAUUUAUGAUUUCUAAACAACCAAUCAUAAGUAUGAUAAUCUGCAUAAAGCAAUCAUCCCAAAAGAAAUGAAAUUAACAUAAUCUGAAUGAGUUAGAAUAAGACCUGUCUUCAGUUGUUUAUUACAUGAGAGAGCCUUGUUUCACUUCAAAUUGAUCUUCGAGUCCUUUAAGACACACUUUGGCCUUUAUUUUGGCCUCUCACAGCACAUUCACUCAAGAUUUUCACUUACACGGUUGACACACACACACACGCACACACAC